CUUAUCCAUGCACCCAAAGAGGGGAAAGACAUCCGUUUAAAAGUGAUUUUAUCGAUGAUGUUAUGGUCGGAAACACACGAACCUCAGCCUGUAACAAACAAAAGGGGGCUUCGGCCAUGAUGGGGCUGCUGGUUGUAGUUACAUGACGUUACAAACGCAUUUAAUGCAUGGUUGAGGCUUUGUUUCACACAUUAUAACCUGGGGGCUUGGCUACAUCUCGGCAUUUCCUACUGCCCUCAAAGGUCUGAAAGCGUUGGGAGAACAUUUACAGGUAAGAAGGAUAUAUACAGGUUUUGAGCCCCCUAAAUGUUCUGUUUACUUCUUUUGGAGAGUGCGUUGUCUUUCAUGGGGUGGCAAAUCUACAGGUUCUAAAUAUUGGGGGAGAGACAUAUUUCCUGCAUCCCCCGAAACCUCCACCUAUGAAUUUAAUAGUUGGUUUGGGGCCUAACGGCAGCCAAACUAACCGUUGGCCGGAUAGAAAUCAGCUUCCACAGACUGUGAUAACGUUAUAAAUACUUAGUUACCGACUUUAUUUCGCCCAAAAUCUCGUACCCUCCCCCCCAUGGGCGACAUUUGUAUUUAAUACCAGCAGCCUUUUCCGGGAUAAUUUCCGUGUAACUGUUCGGAAAACGUGAAAUAAUUGAACCGUAGAGAACGUUAAACCGUCGUCGCUUUGUUUUGAUUUUGCCUUCUAAACUGUCGCGGAAUACUGCGCAUGCGCUGUGGGGGAAACAUGUUAAAUGGGCCUGCAGUUAGCUCCCAGGCUAACAGGCUGCAGAGAGCAGUUAGCCAGGUAACUGUCUGACUUUAUGCUGUUAGAUCAACUCUAGAGACCCAACAAAGACGCUUUUAAUGGAUCGUCCUGCAGAGCAGGAGACAAGCCCCGUAGCUCGGUGAGAUUUCGGGCAGAGCCGAGGAGGUUUCCGGCUCCAUGUGUGCCUGAAGAGAAAGAGCUCUUUGUCUGGAGGACGUGUGGUGUUGACCCAGUUGAUCUGCACAGGAAACUCCAGCCACAAGUACCAGCACAAGACAACGAAGAAACACAAACACAUCCAGUUUUCAUUCAUCCUGCAUGUGAAGAUGUUAAACAGUUGCAUCAGAAAAGGGUGACGAUGGCGUUCCAUUCAGGGCCCGGUUUGAGUCAAACCGACAUCCGUUUGAAUUCAUUUUUAGAGUCUACGAUUUAAAGCUGAAGACUGAAGAUGUUGGUAUCAGCUGCAACUAGACGAUCUCAGCAGAGAGAAUCCGCCUCCGGUCCGGGUACGCUGCUGUGAUUGGUCAGACGUUAAUGACGACAUCGUCCUCUUCGUCUCUGAGUCCGUCCUGCAGCGCGUCCCCCCCCUCCCCUCCCCCACAGGGUCCGAUGAUGUACCUGUAGUCUCCCCCGAUGGCGAGCGCCGCCGCGGAGCCGACCAUCAGCCAGUCCGUCUCUCUCUCCUCGUCCUCGGCGCGCCGCUGCCACGGGACGGCCCAGCUCGGCUCGUCCUCCUGGGCCUCGGCCGCCCCCCCCGGCUCGCCCUCCAGGUUCACGUAGAGCAGCGCCUCUCGGGCCGCCGCGGCGGGGGACAGGCUCAGCAGCAGCGCCUCCAGCUGGACGACCACGUCCUGGAAACUGGGACGACAUUUAGGGACGGGACUCCAGCAGCUGUGCAUCAGCUCGUAGCUGAUGGCGAGACACAAAGAAUCAGCAGUACAUGAGUUACUCUACUGUUACUGUAAUGUUAGAAAUAUCUUAUUAAAAAGGUCCCAUGGUAUGAAAAUGUCA